rnacentral:rRNA from 1 species
UAAGGAAUAUUGGACAAUGGACGCAAGUCUGAUCCAGCCAUGCCGCGUGAAGGAUGAAUGCCCUCUGGGUUGUAAACUUCUUUUAUAGGGGAAGAAAGAUACUUUUUUUAAGGUAGUUGACGGUACCCUAUGAAUAAGCACCGGCUAACUCCGUGCCAGCAGCCGCGGUAAUACGGAGGGUGCAAGCGUUAUCCGGAUUUACUGGGUUUAAAGGGUGCGUAGGCGGGCAUGUAAGUCAGUGGUGAAAUCUCUCAGCUUAACUGAGAAACUGCCAUUGAUACUGCAGGCCUAGAGUAUAGAUGACGUUGGCGGAAUAUGACAUGUAGUGGUGAAAUACUUAGAUAUGUCAUAGAACACCGAUUGCGAAGGCAGCUAACGAAACUAUAACUGACGCUGAGGCACGAACGUGCGGGGAUCAAAC